AGCUAAUAGAUACCCUGGUAGUCCACGCCCUAAACGAUGUCAACUGGGUGUUGGGGAAGCGACUUCCUUGGUACCGUAGCUAAACGCGUGAAGUUGACCGCCUGGGGAGUACGGCCGCAAGGUUAAAACUCAAAGGAAUUGACGGGACCCGCACAAGCGGUGGAUGAUGUGGAUUAAUUCGAUGCAACGCGAACAACCUUACCUACCCUUGACAUGUCUGGAAGGCUGCUGAGAGGUGGCUGUGCCCGAAAGGGAACCGGAACACAGGUGCUGCAUGGCUGUCGUCAGCUCGUGUCGUGAGAUGUUGGGUUAAGUCCCGCAACGAGCGCAACCCUUGUCCCUAGUUGCUACGCAAGGGCACUCUAGGGAGACUGCCGGUGACAAACCGGAGGAAGGUGGGGAUGACGUCAAGUCCUCAUGGCCCUUAUGGGUAGGGCUUCACACGUCAUACAAUGGCCGGUACAGAGGGUUGCCAAAGCGCGAGCUGAGCCAAUCCCGAGAAAGCCGGUCGUAGUCCGGAUUGCAGUCUGCAACUCGACU
rnacentral:rRNA from 1 species